AUGGCUAACAGGAUGAAGAGAAGCCAGAUAGUCAAAGUGAACAAAUGGCCACUGCAAAGAAGGCAGCACUCACUAUAUCCACUUAUACAACAACAAUUUACACGUAUGUGUUAUUACAGAUGAGAUAGAAUUUUGGGGAGUCAGACAAUUAUAUCCCAGACAAAAAUUUAUGGUACCAG
rnacentral:lncRNA from 1 species